rnacentral:misc_RNA from 1 species
ACCUACUGCUUAAUUUUGAGGGUUCGUUUUUACGAAUACUCAAAAUUAGCACUUUUAGCAACAGAAUAAACUGAACGCAUGUGAAGUUUGUUUGUUGGCGCUGUGCGUUAGCACUUUAAGCAACGGGAUUUAUCCGUUGGCGCCGUGCUUUAGCACUUUGAAAACUGCAUAUAUAUUUAGUGAUAUGACAUCUAAUUUGUAAUAUAUAAAGCUGAUAACUUUUUAAAAUUAUCGAAGUUGAUAGCUUCUAAUCUAUCAAACCUUUUUAACUGGUCAA